rnacentral:tRNA from 1 species
AUUUAUUUAGUAUAAAGAAAAUAUAUUUAAUUUCCAAUUAAAAGAUUUAAAAAUUUAAAAUAAAUA